rnacentral:lncRNA from 1 species
ACCCCUCGCGACAACAGUGAUCGACGACACACAUUAUGCCUUUCAGCAAGAAACAAGUGGCUGCUUGGUCCCAGUUCACCUUGGUCUUGCUCCUUGUCUCGCGUACGUAAGCCCUAAGUAUUUUUGUAUUGAAACUUUCUAGUAGUAUAUAUAUUUAUGCAAACAAUCUUUCCCUUGAAUAAUAGACAAACUUUUGUGUGUUUGCAGGCGCGGCGGUGGUGUCAGUGGCGUUAUGCGAGGCAGCAGUAGGGACCUUUUCUGCUAAUAAACUGGAUUGCCAAAGCUACUGCACACAGAAAGGCUACAAGAGCGGCCAUCCCACAUGCCAGUGUAGCAAUGGGCUGCAUGGGGUAUCACCGGGGACGACCAGCCAUUGCUUGAGAGGCCGUCACCCACGAGACGAUGCUGGCGAAGGGGUGGGAAUACUGUUAGAAUUAUAGGCAUUUUCCGUAUCAUUUUAAUUCCAUAAAUUAAUAUUAUGAUGAUGACAUAUAAAAGAUAAUUAACCAUGAC